rnacentral:rRNA from 1 species
AUUGAACGCUGGCGGCAGGCCUAACACAUGCAAGUCGAACGCGUGGCGGACGGGUGAGUAAUGUCUGGGACACCGCCUGAUGGAGGGGGAUCACCACUGGAAACGGUAGCUAAUACCGCAUACCAUCAGAUGUGCCCAGAUGGGAUUAGCUAGUUGGUGGGGUAACGGCUCACCAAGGCGACGAUCCCUAGCUGGUCUGAGAGGAUGACCAGCCACACUGGAACUGAGACACGGUCCAGACUCCUACGGGAGGCAGCAGUGGGGAAUAUUGCACAAUGGGCGAAAGCCUGAUGCAGCCAUGCCGCGUGUAUGAAGAAGGCCUUCGGAUUGUAAAGUACUUUUGUCAGGGAGGCGUUACCCGAAGAAGAAGCACCGGCUAACUCCGUGCCAGCAGCCGCGGUAAUAC